AAGAAAGUUACUAAGGGCGUAUGGGGAAUGCCUAGGCUCUCAGAGGCGAUGAAGGACGUGAUAAGCUGCGAUAAGCCGCGGGGAUUGGCAAAUACGAAUUAAUCCGCGGAUUUCCGAAUGGGACAACCCGUCUGGUUGAAGGCCAGACAUCCUAAUUUAUUAGGAGGCAAACCCAGGGAACUGAAACAUCUAAGUACCUGGAGGAGAAGAAAACAAUAGUGAUUUCGUAAGUAGUGGCGAGCGAACGCGAAACAGCCCAAACCAGAUUAGUUACGGCUAAUUUGGGGUAGUAGGACUGUGAUAAAGGUUGAUAAAUAAAUUUGAAUUACCUGGGAAGGUAAGCCGUAGAGGGUGAAAGCCCCGUAAGAGUACAUUUAUUAUCUGGCGCAGUAUCCUGAGUAGGACGGAGCAGGUGAAACUCUGUUUGAAACAGCCGGCACCAUCCGGUAAGGCUAAAUACUCCUGAGAGACCGAUAGUGAACCAGUACCGUGAGGGAAAGGUGAAAAGUACCCUGAAUAAGGGGGUGAAAAAGAACCUGAAACCAUACGCUUACAAGCGGUCGGAGCCCAUUAGUUGGGUGACGGCGUGCCUUUUGCAUAAUGAGCCUACGAGUUACACCUUGCUGGCAAGGUUAAGUGAUAUAAGUCACGUAUCCGGAGCGAAAGCGAGUCUGAAUAGGGCGUUGUAGUCAGCAGGGGUAGACGCGAAACUUGGUGAUCUACCCAUGACCAGGGUGAAGUUCUGGUAACACAGAAUGGAGGCCCGAACCAAUAGACGUUGAAAAGUCUUUGGAUGAGUUGUGGGUAGGGGUGAAAGGCCAAUCAAACCAAGAAAUAGCUCGUACUCCCCGAAAUGCUUUUAGGAGCAGCGUUCAGGGAUGUCUAAUAGAGGUAGAGCUACCAAUAGGACUAGGGGGAGUCAUAUCCUACCAAAUCCUGAUGAACUCCGAAUGCUAUUAGAUUACCUGAGCAGUGAGGGUCAGGGUGCUAAGGUCCUGAUCCGAGAGGGAAAGAACCCGGACCAACAGCUAAGGUCCCCAAAUAUAUGCUAAGUUGAACAAAGGCGGUCCAGUUGCUUAGACAGCCAGGAUGUUGGCUUGGAAGCAGCCAUUCAUUUAAAGAGUGCGUAACAGCUCACUGGUCGAGCGACAGGGCAUCGAUAAUGAUCGGGCAUCAAGCAUAUUACCGAAGCUUUGGAAUUAUUUUAUAAUUGGUAGGGGAGCAUUCUAAUGAUGAAGAAGUCACGGGGCGACCUGUGGUGGAGACAUUAGAAAAGCAAAUGUAGGCAUAAGUAACGAUAAUGCGGGCGAGAAACCCGCACACCGAAAGACUAAGGUUUCCCCGGCAAUGCUAAUCAACCGGGGGUUAGUCGGGGCCUAAGGCGAACCCGAAAGGGGUAGUCGAUGGACAAUCGGUUAAUAUUCCGAUACUAGCUAAACAGAGUGAUGGGGUGACGGAGGAGUGAAAGCACUGCGUACUGACGGAAUAGUACGUUGAACACUGAAGGUAUAUGACUUAUAGGCAAAUCCGUAAGUUGUGCUAAAGGUGGACAGUACCACAAUGCUUCGGCAGCGUGGAUAAUGUGCCUAAUCAGACUUCCAAGAAAACCCUCUAAGCGUUUACUGUUUAGCUACCCGUACCGUAAACCGACACAGGUAGUUGAGGAGAGAAUCCUAAGGUGCUCGAGUGAUUCAUGGCUAAGGAACUAGGCAAAAUAGCCCUGUAACUUCGGGAUAAGGGGCGCUUCCCCACCUUCGGGUGGGAAGCCGCAGUGAAAAGGCCCAGGCGACUGUUUAACAAAAACACAUGGCUUUGCGAAAUUGAAAGAUGAAGUAUAAGGCCUGACACCUGCCCGGUGCCGGAAGGUUAAGGGGGGAUGUUAUCCUUCGGGAGAAGCAUUGAACUGAAGCCCCGGUAAACGGCGGCCGUAACUAUAACGGUCCUAAGGUAGCGAAAUUCCUUGUCGGGUAAGUUCCGACCUGCACGAAUGGUGUAACGAUCUGGGCACUGUCUCGGCCAUGAGCUCGGUGAAAUUGUAGUCGCGGUGAAGAUGCCGCGUACCCGCAACGGGACGGAAAGACCCCAUGAACCUUUACUACAGCUUAACAUUGGUAUUGGGUAAAUGAUGUGUAGGAUAGGUGGGAGACUAUGAAAUGGCGUCGCCAGGCGUUGUGGAGUCACCCUUGAAAUACCACCCUUUAUUUAUCUGAUGCCUAAUCCGUGUAUGCGGAGACAUUGUUUGGUGGGUAGUUUGACUGGGGUGGUCGCCUCCAAAAAGGUAACGGAGGCUUUCAAAGGUACCCUCAGCACGAUUGGUAACCGUGCGCAGAGCGUAAUAGCAUAAGGGUGCUUGACUGUGAGACCCACAAGUCGAUCAGGCACGAAAGUGGGAUAUAGUGAUCCGGUGGUUCCGCAUGGAAGGGCCAUCGCUCAAAGGAUAAAAGGUACUCUGGGGAUAACAGGCUGAUCUCCCCCAAGAGCUCAUAUCGACGGGGAGGUUUGGCACCUCGAUGUCGGCUCGUCACAUCCUGGGGCUGGAGAAGGUCCCAAGGGUUGGGCUGUUCGCCCAUUAAAGUGGCACGCGAGCUGGGUUCAGAACGUCGUGAGACAGUUCGGUCCCUAUCUGUUGUGGGCGUAAGAAGCUUGAGAGGAUCUGACCUUAGUACGAGAGGACCGGGUUGGACAAACCGCUGGUGUAUCAGUUGUGCCGCCAGGUGCAUUGCUGAGUAGCUAUGUUUGGCAGAGAUAAGCGCUGAAAGCAUCUAAGUGCGAAACUCACCUCAAGAUGAGGCUUCUCUAUAAGGGACGUCAGAGACGAUGACGUAGAUAGGUUGCAGGUGUAAAGGCAGAGAUGUCAAAGCUGAGCAAUACUAAUUACCCGAGAACUUUCUUAA
rnacentral:rRNA from 1 species